rnacentral:rRNA from 1 species
AGCUCCACUAGCGUAUGUUAAAAUUGUUGCGGUUAAAACGUUCGAAGUUGAUCAUUGUCCAGUGCGAGUGUGACAUCAUCAAGUAAAUGAUUGUCAUCACUUUUUAGUUACUUGGACUAUAUGACUGAACAAUUAAUGAAUAGCAUUGAUGUCUUUCAUUAGACUAGAUGUCUAUUUAGUUCGGCUUACUUUUACCUUGAACAAAUUAAAGUGCUCAAAGCAGGCUUCAUAUGCUUGAAUAGUUUUGCAUGGAAUAAUGGAAAAAGACCUCGGUCUUAUUCGCUUUAUAUUGUAAUGAUAUUUAGUGAUUUUCUAUUGGUUUGAUAAGGAUCAAGAGGUAAUGAUUAAUAGAAGCAGUUGGGGGCAUUAGUAUUACGGCGCGAGAGGUGAAAUUCUUAGACCGUCGUAAGACUAACUAAAGCGAAAGCAUUUGCCAAGGAUGUUUUCA